rnacentral:rRNA from 1 species
UGCAGUCGAGCGAACAGACGAGGAGCUUGCUCCUCUGACGUUAGCGGCGGACGGGUGAGUAACACGUGGAUAACCUACCUAUAAGACUGGGAUAACUUCGGGAAACCGGAGCUAAUACCGGAUAACAUGUUGAACCGCAUGGUUCAACAGUGAAAGACGGUCUUGCUGUCACUUAUAGAUGGAUCCGCGCCGCAUUAGCUAGUUGGUAAGGUAACGGCUUACCAAGGCAACGAUGCGUAGCCGACCUGAGAGGGUGAUCGGCCACACUGGAACUGAGACACGGUCCAGACUCCUACGGGAGGCAGCAGUAGGGAAUCUUCCGCAAUGGGCGAAAGCCUGACGGAGCAACGCCGCGUGAGUGAAGAAGGUCUUCGGAUCGUAAAACUCUGUUAUUAGGGAAGAACAAAUGUGUAAGUAACUAUGCACGUCUUGACGGUACCUAAUCAGAAAGCCACGGCUAACUACGUGCCAGCAGCCGCGGUAAUACGUAGGUGGCAAGCGUUAUCCGGAAUUAUUGGGCGUAAAGCGCGCGUAGGCGGUUUUUUAAGUCUGAUGUGAAAGCCCACGGCUCAACCGUGGAGGGUCAUUGGAAACUGGAAAACUUGAGUGCAGAAGAGGAAAGUGGAAUUCCAUGUGUAGCGGUGAAAUGCGCAGAGAUAUGGAGGAACACCAGUGGCGAAGGCGACUUUCUGGUCUGUAACUUGACGCUGAUGUGCGAAAGCGUGGGGAUCAAACAGGAUUAGAUACCCUGGUAGUCCACGCCGUAAACGAUGAGUGCUAAGUGUUAGGGGGUUUCCGCCCCUUAGUGCUGCAGCUAACGCAUUAAGCACUCCGCCUGGGGAGUACGACCGCAAGGUUGAAACUCAAAGGAAUUGACGGGGACCCGCACAAGCGGUGGAGCAUGUGGUUUAAUUCGAAGCAACGCGAAGAACCUUACCAAAUCUUGACAUCCUCUGANCCCUCUAGAGAUAGAGUUUUCCCCUUCGGGGGACAGAGUGACAGGUGGUGCAUGGUUGUCGUCAGCUCGUGUCGUGAGAUGUUGGGUUAAGUCCCGCAACGAGCGCAACCCUUAAGCUUAGUUGCCAUCAUUAAGUUGGGCACUCUAAGUUGACUGCCGGUGACAAACCGGAGGAAGGUGGGGAUGACGUCAAAUCAUCAUGCCCCUUAUGAUUUGGGCUACACACGUGCUACAAUGGACAAUACAAAGGGUAGCGAAACCGCGAGGUCAAGCAAAUCCCAUAAAGUUGUUCUCAGUUCGGAUUGUAGUCUGCAACUCGACUACAUGAAGCUGGAAUCGCUAGUAAUCGUAGANCAGCG